rnacentral:misc_RNA from 1 species
UGAUUCUGCAAAAAAAAAUUUGUUAUGACACAUUUUCUACUAAAAUGGGAUAAAAUGAUAAAUUUAUCGCAACGUGCAAGUUUAAGCAGAAAUAAUUACUUACACAUCAAAUUUAUUAAAUAAAAAUAUAUCGAAGAAGAAAAUAACAGGCCUAAAAAGCAAUACCUAACAAAGUGUAGAUAUCAGUUUACACCUUGCAUAACAGAGUUCAAUGUUAA